rnacentral:rRNA from 1 species
AUGAACGCUGGCGGCAUGCCUAACACAUGCAAGGUCGAACGGGGUUAUGGAGAGCUUGCUCUCCGUAACCUAGUGGCGGACGGGUGAGUAACGCGUGAGCAAGUCUGCCCUAGAGUGGGGGAUAACACCGGGAAACUGGUGCUAAUACCGCAUGAUGUAUCGGGAUCGCAUGACCCUGAUAUCAAAGGAGAAAUCCGCUCUUGGAUGAGCUCGCGUCUGAUUAGCUAGUUGGUGGGGUAAUGGCUCACCAAGGCUGCGAUCAGUAGCCGGACUGAGAGGUUGAUCGGCCACAUUGGGACUGAGAUACGGCCCAGACUCCUACGGGAGGCAGCAGUGGGGGAUAUUGCACAAUGGGGGAAACCCUGAUGCAGCAACGCCGCGUGAAGGAAGACGGUCUUCGGAUUGUAAACUUCUUUUCUUAGGGACGAUAAUGACGGUACCUAAGGAAUAAGCCACGGCUAACUACGUGCCAGCCGCAGC